CUAUGUACCGUCUGUCUGGGCCCGUAUGAUAUAUACGUAGGGUGUUUCUACAUGUCCGUCGGGACCAAGACGCGUUAAUCCGAAAAACAAGAUACGUGUACCUCGUUAAAGCGACGGGAUAGAGAACACGCGUAAAAUUCAGCGGCGUGUUUUACGCGGGAUCUUCCGGCCGGCGAGAUCCCGUAAUCGGCGACGGUUUCGUACGCCGGCGUAGCACGUGCGCAGUAUCUCAGCCAAUAGCGGGAAAGUCUGUAACAGAUUAGCCAUUUGUAUUAAUGAGCGCGGUCGUCAGCGUGAUCUACGAAAUCUG